GAAUGUGGACUACAAGCGAGCGCGGCAUUUUGAAGUUGACUUAUCAGCUUUUCGUAACAUCCUUGACAUUGACAAAGAUAGAAUGAUUGCAAAAGUUGAGCCUCUUGUCAACAUGGGGCAAAUCAGCAGAGCUACAUGCCCAAUGAACCUUUCCCUUGCAGUGGUUGCAGAGCUUGAUGAUCUUACUGUUGGUGGCCUUAUCAAUGGCUAUGGAAUUGAAGGAAGUUCUCACAUCUAUGGCCUAUUUUCUGAUACUGUUGUUGCAUAUGAGAUUGUUCUGGCAGAUGGCCAAGUUGUCAGAGCCACCAAGGACAAUGAGUAUAAAGAUCUUUUCUAUGCAAUUCCAUGGUCUCAGGGGACACUAGGGCUUCUUGUCUCGGCUGAGAUCAAGCUUAUACCCAUUAAGGAAUACAUGAAGCUGACUUACAAACCUGUAGUGAGUAAUCUAAGAGAGAUUGCACAGGCCUAUGCAGACUCUUUUGCUCCAAGAGAUGGGGAUCAGGACAAUCAAGCUAAGGUUCCAGACUUCGUAGAAGGCAUGAUUUACACUUCAACAGAAGCUGUAUUUAUGACAGGGAGAUAUGCCUCAAAAGAAGAGGCCAAGAAAAAGGGAAAUGUAAUUAACAGCGUCGGUUGGUGGUUUAAACCAUGGUUCUAUCAGCAUGCAGCCACAGCUCUUAAGAGAGGGGAGUUCACAGAGUACAUACCCACAAGAGAGUAUUACCACAGGCACACAAGGUCUUUGUACUGGGAGGGAAAACUCAUCCUACCAUUUGGAGAUCAAUUUUGGUUCAGGUUUCUCUUCGGCUGGAUGAUGCCACCCAAGGUUUCUUUGCUUAAGGCUACUCAAGGUGAAGCCAUCAGAAACUACUACCAUCAGAAUCAUGUCAUCCAGGACAUGCUUGUUCCUCUCUACAAGGUUGGAGAUGCCCUGGAGUGGCAACACCUUGAGAUGGAGGUAAACAUGUCUUUUUCUGCUCCCGCAUUCAAUUACUCUUUUUCUUUUUAAUCUUCUUUGCUUGCUUUCUUUUUGGCGUAAUUUUAGUUGCAUUAAUAUUCUAUUGAAAUUUGUGUUGGUUUGAAUGUGAAAUGAAGUCAACCAAUUGUCAUUGCUACUUUCCCUGAAGAUUGCAACAAGUGAAACAAGUUUUAUUUUCCCUGAAAAACAAGAUUGUCUAAUGCUUGGAGGUAAUAGAAACACAUGAACAGGUGCUUGAAACCAUAUCUGAAGCAGGAUAUGAUUUCAACACGAAGUCAUACAGAAUAUGAUUAACUUAGAGUCAAUUUAAGAAAUCAAGGGUUUUUCCUUUAAUUUUUUAUUAUAAAUGUUAAAGCAAAUGAUAGCUGUCCUUUGGGUCUGUUUGGAGCAUUCUAGGAGGUUUUUUGUAGAUGGACUACAGCUGAAGGAUCAGAAGUGGCAAAGAAAGACCUUAAUAUGUAGAGGUAAAUAUAAAAGAGGGUAAACAUAGUCAUUGCACCUAGUAGUUUUGGCAAUCGAAAUAUCCUGACAUCAAAUUGUAGGCUGAAAACUUUUCUUCAUAUUCUUUGUUUCAAAGUAAAAGUUGUCUUUUUGUCGACUUUUUGAACUUGGAUGGCCAAGCGAACAUGGUUUAUUUGGUGGUCAGUUAUGUCUUUUUUUUUUUUUUUGAAAAUAUUUUAUGUUUGUUGGGUGUGCUCAGAAGCAGCUUCUGUAUUAUUAAAGCUUUUGUAAGUCUCUACUGAGUUGCUAACUGAAUAUGCAGUGUCUGUGAUCCCUAAUUGGAGUUGGACAAUAUAGGUUCUAAAAGAUUGUUGGCCUUGUGCCCAAAUUGGGAACGCUAGUGUUACUAGUUGUGGUCCCACAGUUUUUUAUUAUUAUCAUCAAGGACUCUAGUUGGUUGAUAUAAUUAGCAUUUCCCUUCCUAAUUCUUCAGGUAUACCCACUUUGGCUCUGUCCACAUCGGCUGUACAAGCUUCCAUACAAAACUAUGGUGUAUCCUGAGCCAGGCUUUGAGCACCAUCGCAGACAGGGAGACACUUCUUACGCUCAGAUGUAUACAGAUGUUGGGGUCUACUAUGCACCAGGUCCUAUCUUGAGGGGUGAAGUAUUUGAUGGUGCAGAAGCAGUUCGUAAAAUGGAGCAGUGGCUGAUUGAGAAUGGUGGGUUUCAGCCACAGUAUGCAGUGUCUGAACUGAGUGAAAAGAACUUUUGGAGGAUGUUUGAUGCCGAUCUGUAUGAGAAAUGCAGGAAAAAGUAUAAAGCUGUGGGAACCUUCAUGAGCGUGUACUACAAGUCCAAGAAAGGAAGGAAGACCGAAAAGGAGGUGCAAGAAGCCGAACAAGCCCAACUUGAGCCUGCUUAUGCAGAGGUUGACCAGCCCAUUGACUGAUUUAAAACCGAUCUUGGAUUAAUUGGUAGG
rnacentral:lncRNA from 1 species